GAUGUUCAGUUAAGCAAAUUCAACAUGUCUGAACCUUCAUAAAUUCGCCCCCAGUGAUGCUGUCCUGCAGUGUGAUCCUGGCCUCGGGAGACGUCUGUCCCCAGCAGAGCUAAUCACCUUUACUCUUUGGGUGAAAUUGAAACUGAUAAUAUUUUGAUGUCAACGCAUCUCAUUCAAGAGCUGAGCUGUGAAAUCCUACGAAGCCAUGGCAGGGCUUUCUGAGGUUAUCCAAUCCUAUCUGGUGACCGAUCCAGGAAAAGAGGAAAUGAAGCUGGCCCUCCUGUGUGGCUUGGGGAGAACCUAGAUAGAGCCUCAGAUCCUGGGCAUCGAUAUUCCACAUGGAUCCUGUUUGUACCUCUUGUAUUCACACCGGGGAAACUGCAAAGGGAAGACUGCUAAGUAAUGUAAGGGGGCCCGUGCCUGCACAAAUUCUUCCUAGCAGGCACACUGGGGGCCUUAGCAGCGUAUGUGUUGUGAGCGAGUAACACUUUGCAUCCGCAACGGACUUCAUGCCUUUCAGACAAUCUGCCAGACCAGUCCUAAUGGCAACCUUUUAAAAAAGGAUGACAAGUCCUUCUAGCAGGCUGUCACAUGUUGCCAGAUUAAAACAUUGUGUAAUUAUUUACAGGAGACGGUGGGGUGUCAGAUCAUUUGGCUGGAAAGACCAUGUUUCCAAAUAAAUUUGAGAGAUAGCUACAGCUGCUCUAAAACAGAGCAAAAUAUAUGGCAACAAAAGGAAGAAGAACACAUUAUUGAGGCAAAUCAUGCAAUUAAGUAUCCACUCUUUGUCAUAGGGCAUUUUGGCUGUCCCUGCUUCUCCAGGCAAGCUUUUGGAAUAUUCUGAAUAAGAGCUGGAGAGUCAAAGAAAGAGAAAACAAAGCCCCUUUCUAUCUCCCAUACUUUUCCUUCCUGCAGGAAAAGGGACACAGUACCAUGCAGUUGAACACCAUGUCAAGUGAGGAUAAAGGAAAACAGCCAUGACAUCACUCCAUUACUGCCACCCCCAGUGUGCCUCACAGGCCCUGCAAUUUAUAAUCUUGUUUAAUCCUCCAAGCAACCGAGGAAUACAGAUAUCAUCGCCCCUGCUGUACAGAUAAGGAAGCAGAGGCUCAUUGGGGUCCAGGAGCAUGCCUGUGGACAAAUAGCUCCUAAAUGACAUUGAGUUUUAAACCCAAUCUCCAAAAAGCCUGUAUGUUUUGAGCGCCUAUGAUGUGUCAUCAGACAGUGAGGCAGGUACUUGGGAUACAAUCAGAUAAAUGGCAGAGAACCUAUCCAAGAAGCCCACAAGCUGGAAGCGAAUACAAGAAACGCCAUCACUCAUAGCCAUGACAAUUACUGAGUGCCUGUCACAUGCCUGGCAUUGUUCCCAUUCAUGACUUCAGUUCAGCCUCCCACCAGCCCACUGACCAAGGCACUAUUUUCCAUGAUGUCUUCACUUUCUGACUUUAAAACCCAGACUCUUCACCAUUAGAUCAUGUGCCUGAGAUCAAUGGCAAGAGAUGAAAGCCUGGCCAAAGCACUGUGUUAAUAAAGUAGGCUGAUUAUACAGUUUACUACAAGUAGAAGGAAUUGCCACAAACUGGUACUUCUGGAGCAGUGUUCAGGAAGAAGGCAGGAACUGCAGCUGAAUCUAGUAAUAAGACACGAUGAUGAUGAUGAUGAUGACAGCAAUGACAACAGCAACAACAAAAAUAGAGGCUGGGUGUGGUGGCUCAUGCUUGUAAUUCCAGCACUCUGGGAGGCAGAGGCAGGAGGAUCGCUUGAGCCCAGGAGUCUGAGACCAGUCUGGGCAACACGGCAAGACCCCAUCCCUACAAAAAAUUUUAAAAUUAGCUGGACAUGGUGGCAUGUAUCUGCAGUCCCAGCUACUCAGGGGGCUAGGGUAGCAGGAUCACUUGAGCCCAAGAAGUAGAGGCUACAGUGAGGUAUGAUCACACCACUGCACUCCAGCUUGGGCAACAGACGAAGACUCUGUCUCUAAAAAAAAAAAAAAAAAAAAAAAGACAAAAAAAAAGUGCUAGAGAACCAGAUUUAAAGCAGAAGCAGUCCGGAAAUCACAUGCAAAACUGCUCCCAGGGAGAAACGCAAGCCCAGGCACAGAGCCCCGCUUGAUGGCAGGUGCUGGACAAUAACAAUGCUGGGAUCCCCGCCUCUGCUGCCACUUUCCUCACCAGCAUGGAUCCUGCCCUCUCCUUUGUGUCACUCACUAAAGGCUCAAAGUCUGGUUCAAGGUAGAAACAAUUUUACGUGUCUCAGAAAGAACAAAGAGUUUAAGAUGGUGAUGCUGAGAUUCUGGACAAGAUGGACAUGGUGAUCUCUACUGGAAUCCGGGGACUGCUGUACUACGGUCAUAUACUACUGCUGGGGGCCUGGUGUUCCCGGGGUGCACUGGGGGCCUUGCUGUACUGAUAUGGUCAUAUGCUACUGGGGGCCUGCUGUUGCUGAGGUACAUUGUCAGCAGGCCUAGGCAUCGAAAAUGACACAACUGUCUCCUGUUCAGAAGCACUUAGAAUCUCCUGCAUCGUGUAACAAGUGUUUAGAGAUCCCUAGAUCAGGGACUCUGGGGACAGUUUUUAAUUUACUGAUAAGUAAAGUUUUAAAAUGUGACAUCUUUGAGUACUGCUGCCCUAGUCUAUUAAACAAAGAGAAGCAAUUCCCAGGCCAGGAUCAUCCUACUAACCCAAACCUGAUAAUGCUGAUGUGGCCCAGGGCUGGCAGGAUGGCCUGGACUGUAACUAGGCAUCCCCUGCUUCCAUUUGCAGACAUGUGGCUUUGCCCUGAUGGAGACAUAGUGACAGAUCAUUUUGUACUACGUAGGUACAGAUCCAAAGGGCAUCUUAGGCUGGCUGUCAUUAAGUUCCAGUGAGGAACACCUGUCUUCUUCAGUUCCUGUUUCUCCAGUUUGCAUGCAGCCUCAGCCCAUCAGAAGGCAGCGGAUAAGA
rnacentral:lncRNA from 1 species